ACAGUUUAUGUACCUGCAGGACCUAAAAAUCCAACUUCAUUUUCUGCUCUUUUCUUUUUUUUUUAUUAAAGACUUGCUCUGUCAGAAAGUCAGCUCUGUGGUGGACAAGUGACCCCAUGCCUGAUAAUCAGGCAUAAUAGCUGUCUCAUCCCUCAAGUUCUUGCUUUAUUGAGGUAUAUAUGAUAUUGUGCAGGGAGAAGAAGCUGGUGAAUGACUCUGGUCAUUUCUGGACAUGCAGCCUUUGGCAUGAUUCUGUCAGUUCACUGGGCAAAACCUUGAGUCUUUGUGUGGGUG